UCCCUGGUGUUCCAGUGGUUAGUACUCUGCACUUCAGCUGCAGGGGGCGCAGGUUCAAUCCCUGCUCAGGGAA
rnacentral:tRNA from 1 species